CCCCUAGAUGUUCUGGGCCGCACGCGCGCUACACUGAACAGUUCAACAAGUCUUAACCUUGGCCGAUAGGUCUGGGUAAUCUUUGAACGCUGUUCGUGAUUGGGAUAGACCUUUGCAAUUAUGGGUCUUCAACGAGGAAUUCCUAGUAAACGCAAGUCAUCAGCUUGCAUUGAUUACGUCCCUGCCCUUUGUACACACCGCCCGUCGCACCUACCGAUUGAACGGUCCGGUGAAAUCUUGGGAUUUGCUUUGCUUUCGUUUGUUCGAUGCUCGGCGAAGAACUUGAGUAAACCUUACCGUUUAGAGGAAGGUGAAGUCGUAACA
rnacentral:rRNA from 1 species